rnacentral:rRNA from 1 species
ACUCCUACGGGAGGCAGCAGUCGAGAAUCUUUCACAAUGGGGGCAACCCUGAUGGAGCGACGCCGCGUGGGGGAUGACGGGCUUCGGCUUGUAAACCCCUGUCAUUCGUGAGCAACGUGACGAGGUGAACAAUCUCGGCACUUGAUAGUAGCGAAAGAGGAAGGGACGGCUAACUCUGUGCCAGCAGCCGCGGUAAUACAGAGGUCCCGAGCGUUGUUCGGAUUCACUGGGCGUAAAGGGUGCGUAGGUGGCAGAGUAAGUCCGAUGUGAAAUCUCCGGGCCCAACCCGGAAAGUCAUUGGAAACUACCCUGCUGGAGGGUUGGAGAGGGGACUGGAAUUCUCGGUGUAGCAGUGAAAUGCGUAGAUAUCGAGAGGAACACCAGUGGCGAAGGCGAGUCCCUGGACAACACCUGACACUGAGGCACGAAAGCUGGGGGAGCAAACAGGAUUAGAUACCCUGGUAGGCUCU